rnacentral:rRNA from 1 species
UACGUAGGGUGCAAGCGUUAUCCGGAAUUAUUGGGCGUAAAGAGCUCGUAGGCGGUUUGUCGCGUCGAAUGUGAAAACCCGGGGCUCAACUCCGGGCCUGCAUUCGAUACGGGCAGACUAGAGUUCGGUAGGGGAGUCUGGAAUUCCUGGUGUAGCGGUGAAAUGCGCAGAUAUCAGGAGGAACACCGGUGGCGAAGGCGGGACUCUGGGCCGAUACUGACGCUGAGGAGCGAAAGCGUGGGGAGCGAACAGG